AUUGAACGCUGGCGGCAUGCCUUACACAUGCAAGUCGAACGGUAACAGGUCUUCGGAUGCUGACGAGUGGCGAACGGGUGAGUAAUACAUCGGAACGUGCCCGAGAGUGGGGGAUAACGCAGCGAAAGCUGUGCUAAUACCGCAUACGAUCUACGGAUGAAAGCAGGGGAUUCGCAAGGACCUUGCGCUCAUGGAGCGGCCGAUGGCAGAUUAGGUAGUUGGUGGGAUAAAAGCUUACCAAGCCGACGAUCUGUAGCUGGUCUGAGAGGACGACCAGCCACACUGGGACUGAGACACGGCCCAGACUCCUACGGGAGGCAGCAGUGGGGAAUUUUGGACAAUGGGGGAAACCCUGAUCCAGCCAUGCCGCGUGCAGGAUGACGGCCCUACGGGUUGUAAACUGCUUUUCCCGGGGCGAAUAACCCCUCGCGAGGGGAGUGCCGGUACCGGGGAGUAAGGAUCGGCGUAACUCCGUGCCACGCAGCCGCGGUAAUCUGU
rnacentral:rRNA from 1 species